rnacentral:rRNA from 1 species
CACGUAGGGGGCGAGCGUUGUCCGGAUUUAUUGGGCGUAAAGAGCUCGUAGGCGGCUCAGUAAGUCAGGUGUGAAAACUCCAGGCUCAACCUGGAGACGCCACUUGAUACUGCUGUGGCUAGAGUCCGGUAGGGGAGCAUGGAAUUCCUGGUGUAGCGGUGAAAUGCGCAGAUAUCAGGAGGAACACCGGUGGCGAAGGCGGGUCUCUGGGCCGUAACUGACGCUGAGGCACGAAAGCUAGGGUAGCGAACGGG